rnacentral:rRNA from 1 species
AUGCAGUCGAGGGGCAGCACAAUCGCUUGCGAUUGGUGGCGACCGGCGCACGGGUGCGUAACGCGUAUGCAACCUACCCUGUACAGGGGGAUAGCCCGAAGAAAUUCGGAUUAAUACCCCAUGGAACCAUAAGGCAACCUUGUUUAUUGGUUAAAGAUUUAUUGGUACAGGAUGGGCAUGCGUCUGAUUAGUUAGUUGGUGGGGUAACGGCUCACCAAGGCGACGAUCAGUAGGGGUUCUGAGGGGAUGAUCCCCCACACUGGCACUGAGAUACGGGCCAGACUCCUACGGGAGGCAGCAGUAGGGAAUAUUGGUCAAUGGGCGAGAGCCUGAACCAGCCAUGCCGCGUGCAGGAAGACGGCCUUCUGGGUUGUAAACUGCUUUUACCAAGGAACAAAAAGGCCCUGCGGGGCAAAUUGCGUGUACUUGGAGAAUAAGCACCGACUAACUCCGUGCCAGCAGCCGCGGUAAUACGGAGGGUGCAAGCGUUGUCCGGAUUUAUUGGGUUUAAAGGGUGCGUAGGCGGUCUAUUAAGUCAGUGGUGAAAUACUCCGGCUCAACCGGAGAGGUGCCAUUGAAACUGUUAGACUUGAGUACAGACGAGGUAGGCGGAAUUUAUGGUGUAGCGGUGAAAUGCAUAGAUACCAUAAAGAACACCAAUAGCGAAGGCAGCUUACUAGGCUGUAACUGACGCUGAGGCACGAAAGCGUGGGGAGCGAACAGGAUUAGAUACCCUGGUAGUCCACGCUGUAAACGAUGAUUACUCGAUGUAUGCG